CUGGGUGUAGCUCAGUAGGUAGAGCGCUCGGCUUGGGUCCGAGAGGCCGUAGGUUCAAGCCCUGCCACCUUGACCA
rnacentral:tRNA from 1 species